AUUGAGCGCUGGCGGCAGGCCUAACACAUGCAAGUCGAGCGGCAGCGGGAAGUAGCUUGCUACUUUGCCGGCGAGCGGCGGACGGGUGAGUAAUGUCUGGGAAACUGCCUGAUGGAGGGGGAUAACUACUGGAAACGGUAGCUAAUACCGCGUGAUGUCGCAAGACCAAAGAGGGGGACCUUAGGGCCUCUCGCCAUCAGAUGUGCCCAGAUGGGAUUAGCUAGUAGGUGGGGUAAGAGCUCACCUAGGCGACGAUCCCUAGCUGGUCUGAGAGGAUGACCAGCCACACUGGGACUGAGACACAGCCCAGACUCCUACGGGAGGCAGCAGUGGGGAAUAUUGCACAAUGGGCGCAAGCCUGAUGCAGCCAUGCCGCGUGUGUGAAGAAGGCCUUAGGGUUGUAAACUUCUUUUAUGUGGGAAUAAAAAAGGGAACGUGUUCCCUAUUGCAUGUGCCACUAUGAAUAAGCAUCGGCUAACUCCGUGCCAGCAGCCGCGGUAA
rnacentral:rRNA from 1 species